rnacentral:rRNA from 1 species
AGAGUUUGAUCAUGGCUCAGAUUGAACGCUAGCGGGAUGCUUUACACAUGCAAGUCGAACGGCAGCACGAGAGAGCUUGCUCUCUUGGUGGCGAGUGGCGGACGGGUGAGUAAUAUAUCGGAACGUGCCCAGUAGCGGGGGAUAACUACUCGAAAGAGUGGCUAAUACCGCAUACGCCCUACGGGGGAAAGGGGGGGAUUCUUCGGAACCUCUCACUAUUGGAGCGGCCGAUAUCGGAUUAGCUAGUUGGUGGGGUAAAGGCUCACCAAGGCAACGAUCCGUAGCUGGUUUGAGAGGACGACCAGCCACACUGGGACUGAGACACGGCCCAGACUCCUACGGGAGGCAGCAGUGGGGAAUUUUGGACAAUGGGGGAAACCCUGAUCCAGCCAUCCCGCGUGUAUGAUGAAGGCCUUCGGGUUGUAAAGUACUUUUGGCAGAGAAGAAAAGGUACCUCCUAAUACGAGGUACUGCUGACGGUAUCUGCAGAAUAAGCACCGGCUAACUACGUGCCAGCAGCCGCGGUAAUACGUAGGGUGCAAGCGUUAAUCGGAAUUACUGGGCGUAAAGCGUGUGUAGGCGGUUCGGAAAGAAAGAUGUGAAAUCCCAGGGCUCAACCUUGGAACUGCAUUUUUAACUGCCGAGCUAGAGUAUGUCAGAGGGGGGUAGAAUUCCACGUGUAGCAGUGAAAUGCGUAGAUAUGUGGAGGAAUACCGAUGGCGAAGGCAGCCCCCUGGGAUAAUACUGACGCUCAGACACGAAAGCGUGGGGAGCAAACAGGAUUAGAUACCCUGGUAGUCCACGCCCUAAACGAUGUCAACUAGCUGUUGGGGCCGUUAGGCCUUAGUAGCGCAGCUAACGCGUGAAGUUGACCGCCUGGGGAGUACGGUCGCAAGAUUAAAACUCAAAGGAAUUGACGGGGACCCGCACAAGCGGUGGAUGAUGUGGAUUAAUUCGAUGCAACGCGAAAAACCUUACCUACCCUUGACAUGUCUGGAAUCCCGAAGAGAUUUGGGAGUGCUCGCAAGAGAACCGGAACACAGGUGCUGCAUGGCUGUCGUCAGCUCGUGUCGUGAGAUGUUGGGUUAAGUCCCGCAACGAGCGCAACCCUUGUCAUUAGUUGCUACGCAAGAGCACUCUAAUGAGACUGCCGGUGACAAACCGGAGGAAGGUGGGGAUGACGUCAAGUCCUCAUGGCCCUUAUGGGUAGGGCUUCACACGUCAUACAAUGGUCGGGACAGAGGGUCGCCAACCCGCGAGGGGGAGCCAAUCUCAGAAACCCGAUCGUAGUCCGGAUCGCAGUCUGCAACUCGACUGCGUGAAGUCGGAAUCGCUAGUAAUCGCGGAUCAGAAUGUCGCGGUGAAUACGUUCCCGGGUCUUGUACACACCGCCCGUCACACCAUGGGAGUGGGUUUCACCAGAAGUAGGUAGCCUAACCGUAAGGAGGGCGCUUACCACGGUGGGAUUCAUGACUGGGGUGAAGUCGUAACAAGGUAGCC